rnacentral:rRNA from 1 species
GACGUAGGGCGCGAGCGUUGUCCGGAUUUAUUGGGCGUAAAGAGCUCGUAGGCGGCUUGUUGCGUCGACCGUGAAAACUUGGGGCUUAACCCUAAGCUUGCGGUUGAUACGGGCAAGCUAGAAUUCGGUAGGGGAGACUGGAAUUCCUGGUGUAGCGGUGAAAUGCGCAGAUAUCAGGAGGAACACCGGUGGCGAAGGCGGGUCUCUGGGCCGAAAUUGACGCUGAGGAGCGAAAGCGUGGGGAGCAAACAGG